rnacentral:rRNA from 1 species
GACGAACGCUGGCGGCGUGCCUAAUACAUGCAAGUCGAACGCAGUGGGGACGGGUGAGUAACAAGUGGGUAACCUCCCAUCAGAGGGGAUAACACUUGGAAAAAGGUGCUAAAACGAUACUGAUGGAUGGACCCGCGGGUCAUUAGCUAGUUGGGGAGGUACAGGCUCACAAAGGCCACGAUGCAUAGCCGACCGGAGCGGGUGAUCGGCCACACUGGGAGUGAGACACUGCACAGACUCCUACGGGAGGCAGCAGUAGUGAAUCUUCGGCAAUGGACGAAAGUCUGACCGAGCAACGCCGCGUGAGUGAAGAAGGUUUUCGGAUCGUAAAACUCUGUUGUUAGAGAAGCGGUAUCUAACCAGAAAGCCACGGCUAACUACGUGCCAGCAGCCGCGGUAAUUC